rfam:Triticum aestivum genome assembly, contig: Triticum_aestivum_CS42_TGACv1_scaffold_405230_5BL
UUUGUACUCCCUCCGUCCCAAAAUUCUUGUCUUAGAUUUGUCCAAAUACAGAUGUAUGAAGUCACGUUUUAGUAUUAGGUACAUCCGUAUCUAGACAAAUCCAAGACAAGAAUUUCGGGACGGAGGAGGAACCUU